UACAGAGGAUGCAAGCGUUAUCCGGAAUGAUUGGGCGUAAAGCGUCUGUAGGUGGCUUUUUAAGUCCGCCGUCAAAUCCCAGGGCUCAACUCUGGACAGGCGGUGGAAACUACCAAGCUGGAGUACGGUAGGGGCAGAGGGAAUUUCCGGUGGAGCGGUGAAAUGCGUAGAGAUCGGAAAGAACACCAGCGGCGAAAGCGCUCUGCUGGGCCGACACUGACGCUGAGAGACGAAAGCUAGGGGAGCGAAUGGG
rnacentral:rRNA from 1 species